rnacentral:lncRNA from 1 species
CUGGUAGCCACGUUAAAAAAGUAACAAGCUUGGUGUGUCCUCAACAAGUUAAACAUAGAAUUAGCAUACGAUCCAGCAAUUCUACUCUCAGGUAUAUAUCUCAAGGAAUUGAAAACAGGUGUUCAAACAAAAACCUGUACACGAAUGUUAGCAGAAACAUUGUUUGUCAUAGCCAAAGUUGGAAGCACUUGUAGUGUCCAUCAACAGAUACACGGAUAAACGAUGUGAACUGCCGAGACCAUUGGGAAAAAUCCCCUCUGCCCGGAGAUAUCUUGAUUCUGACUGUCCUCAGGUGCUUUGAGCCCCGACAGUGUCAUACAGGGAGCUAUGUAGGACCCGAGCCAGAGGAAGGACCCCCCUGGGGCUCAGUGAGAUGUGUUGCAGAGAAGCCAGGCUCCUGCCCUUCCAGCUUUGUGAGCUGCUGUUACCCUGCAAGACCUCUUUGACCGCCAGCUUGAGUGCAUGGUCUUCUUGGAAGGUAGAAGCCAGGAGAGAGAGAGGGCUGUUGUGAGGAGCGGACAGAGGUUUUAAGGAUACAGAUUGCCCCAUGUGUCAGUUAAAACGAAAUUUGGCUGCAUAUGUCAGGGAACCCUCCCCAAAGAGUGGCUGAAAAGAAGUUUAUUUCUCAUGUAAAAGAAGUCUGGUGGUAAUUAGACCAGGCCUGUUCGGGUGGCUUUGAAGUCUCGGACACCCAGAAUCCCUCUCUCGUGUUACUCCACCAUCCUCAGCAUGGGGCGUCCAUCUCGUGGUCUGAGAUGGCUUCUUGAGCUCCAUGCAAAUCUGCAACUUCAGCGGCCAGGAAGGAGAAAAGGCUGAGAAGAGCAUACCUCUUCCCCGGAGGGACAUUUUCUGGAAGUUACACGGGAGGCUUGCACUGCCUUGCAAUGAAGGGUGGCCAUGGAUCUAGAUUCUGGACUAUGGAAUGAGGUGCUCAAUGAAUAUGUUAAAUGAAUGAAGAAGUAGGAGAGAUUGCAUCAUGCAUGGAAGAAAGUUCCCAGCUGAGAAUCAAGGCACUAAGACAUAAAUGAAACUAUGAGCUACUAUGAGACAUAUGUCAAGUCAUCUCACAUUUCAGACCUGCAGUUCGAGGAUGUAUAGGUCAGAGUUGGAUUAGAGGAUCUUUCAGGUCACUUUCCCCUCUCAAAAUCCGU